GACGAACGUUGGCGGUGCGCUUUAUACAUGCAAGUCGCACGCGAAAGGCCCCUUCGGGGGCCGAGUAAAGUGGCGAACGGGUGCGUAACACGUGAGCAACCUGCCCGGAAGUGGGGAAUAACUCCGAGAAAUCGGGGCUAAUACCGCAUGUCGCCUAGGCUCCGCAUGAAGCCAUGGUGAAAGUCGGCCUCUGCUUGCAAGCUGGCGCUUCUGGAU
rnacentral:rRNA from 1 species